GCCACACCCACUAGUCAUAUGAGAAGAUGUAGGUCACAGCUGACCUAUGCUUACAUAUAUAAGCCCAGAUGAGAACAAAUGAGCAUGACCCAGGUCAGCAGAACUACCCAGCCAACCUGCAGAUUCAUGAACAGUCAGCUCAUUCACAAAGGAGGAGGGAGGAGCAAGGCUGUGGGUACCUCAUUGCUCCUUCCAACCAUAGCGAUGGACAAAUUAUUCCUCACUGGGGAAAAGGGAUGAGAAGAGCUUGAGGAAAAGGCCAGAGUCCUCAUGCUAUUGUUAAAAAAAAAAAGAAGAAGAAGAAGAAGAAGAAGAAGAAAGAGUCCUCUAGCUACAAGGGUUUCCUCCACACCGAAGACACAAUCAGCAGUGGAGAAUGAGUAGUUGACCUCUGACCACAGGGCAAAUUGAGCAAUAGUGCAGACUGACCCCGUUACAAUUUAUGUUUGGAAUUACUAGCAGGUUGAAUGUGGAUCAUCAUCUGAAGUACUAUGCUGAAGAAUCAGCUUUUGUCUUCAGAGAUCUCUGGUGGUUUCUGUCUCUUUCAUACUGUAAUUGUCUCUUUUGAUGGCCCAGCUUCUUGGAU
rnacentral:lncRNA from 1 species